GACGAACGCUGGCGGCGUGCCUAAUACAUGCAAGUAGGACGCAGUUGCGAACGGGUGAGUAACGCGUAGGUAACUGCCUAUUAGCGUGGGAUAACUAUUGGAAACGAUAGCUAAUACCGCAUACUAGUAGAUGGAACUGCGGUGUAUUAGCUAGUAUGUAGGGUAAUGGCCUACCUAGGAGACGAUACAUAGCCGACCUGAGAGGGUGAUCGGCCCCACUGGGACUGAGACACGGUCCAGACUCCUACGGGAGGCAGUAGGUGGGAAUAUGGCACAAUGGGCGCAAGCCUGAUGCAGCCAUGCCGCUUGUAGGAAGAAGGCCGUCGGGUUGUAAAGUACUGUCAGCGGGGAGGCGUUACCCGCAGAAGAAGCACCGGCUAACUCCGUGCCAGCAGCCGCGGUAAUAC
rnacentral:rRNA from 1 species